GAUGAAGAACGCAGCGAAAUGCGAUAAGUAAUGUGAAUUGCAGGAUUCAGUGAAUCAUCGAAUCUUUGAACGCACCUUGCGCCCCUUGGUUAUUCCAAAGGGCAUGCCUGUUUGAGUAUCAUGAACACCUCAACUCUUGUGGUUUCCCACAAUGAGCUUGGACUGUGGAGGUUUUGUUGGCCCUGUGGUCAGCUCCUCUCAAAUGGAUCAGCUUACCGGUGUUUGGUGGCAUUACGGGUGUGAUAACUAUCUACGCUCGUGGUCGUCUCCAAAUAACCUCCAGUGAUGGAGGUUCGCUGGAGCUUAUAAAUGUCUCUCCCCAGUGAAGACAGCCUUUGAACGUUCGAUCUCAAAUCAGGUAGGACUACCCGCUGAACUUAAGCAUAUCAAUAAGCGGAGGA
rnacentral:misc_RNA from 1 species